rnacentral:rRNA from 1 species
UUAAUGAAAUGAAGCAUGUGAAGGGUUGUAGCUGGUCUCUUUUUUGGAGGCAUGUGCACGCCCGGAUCAUUCAUCCCCUUCACACACCUGUGCACAACCUGUAGCUUGGGAUGAUCACGGAGGCCAUCUUUUUUUGGUGGCGCCGAAUGCCCUUGCUAUGAUCUUUUGAUACACACCUUUAUAACGUUUAUGUUGAUGACAUUAUUUUGAACGGUAAUACAACUUUCAGCAACGGAUCUCUUGGCUCUCGCAUCGAUGAAGAACGCAGCGAAAUGCGAUAAGUAAUGUGAAUUGCAGAAUUCAGUGAAUCAUCGAAUCUUUGAACGCACCUUGCACUCCUUGGUAUUCCGAGGAGUAUGCCUGUUUGAGCGUCAUGAAAUUCUCAACUGCCUUGGCCUUUUGUGCCAAAGUGAAGUUGGAUUUGGAGGUUUUGUUGCUGGCAUGGAGCGUCUGGUUGAUGCUUGCUUGUUGGCUCCUCCUAAAUGCAUGCAGAGCUUGGCAAAGCGGCGUCGAUGUGAUAAUUAUCUACAUUGUCGUCAAAUUGUGCAAAUCU